GAUUCGAUGGUCUAGUUGGUCAUGGCGCCAGUCUAACACACUGGAAGUCGGGAGUUCGAACCUCCCUCGAGUCA
rfam:Pneumocystis murina B123 supercont1.6, whole genome shotgun sequence.